rnacentral:rRNA from 1 species
GGAGGUUACUGCUAUCGGUGUUCGCCUAACCCAUGCAAGUCAUAUGUUCUUCGUGAACAUGGCGUACUGCUCAGUAACACGUGAAUAACCUGCCCUUGGGACCGGCAUACCCCCGGGAAACUGGGGAUAAUUCCGGAUACCGCAUAUAUGCUGGAAUGCUUUAUGCGUGAAAUGGAUUCGUCUGCCCAAGGAUGGGUCUGCGGCCUAUCAGGUAGUAGUGGGUGUAAUGUACCUACUACCCUACAACGGGUACGGGUUGUGAAAGCAAAACCCCGGAAAUGGAUUCUGAAACAUGAAUCCAGGCCCUACGGGGCGCACCAGCCGCGAAAAAUUCACAAUG